AAAAAAAAACGAUGAGGCAGCGAAAAGAAAUAGAGCCGGCAGUGCCAAUGGCAUUGCCGUUUUCAAUGGGGGAUAUCUAAACCCAUCCAAAAUCGAGUAUCAAUUGGAGGACAAGUCUGGUGCCANCANNCGCGGU
rnacentral:rRNA from 1 species